CCAUUAAGCCCCUUCAUGUUUGCUAAGAACAAGCUUAAGAUUAUUAAUAACAUUUCUGAGAAAUAUGAAAGGGUCAUACAAACCUGAUUGAACCAGUAAAACAGCCACACCAAGAAGCACCAUCUAAUCCAACACUAGCUUACAGCACCCACGUUCAGGUUCAAAAAUUGCAAUAACAGACCCCACACAAUGCAGCUAAUUCUGUUGUGAUCCCCAAACCAUCAAAUUAAGCAAUCAGACAGAACUAACCUAUUUACACUACUGCCAAACAAAUCAAUGAAAAGGACCAACCGGAUCUACCCUUGACAAGGUUAUCUAAUGAUUUAAUUCAACAGCAAUUCAUCAUCAUUCAAAACCCCAGAUCAAAAGGUCACCCAACCAAUAAUAAUUAAUUCCUUAAUCAGGUGAAACAUGACCCAAAAUCCCACGCACCUAACAGUACAUAAAUCGAGAAAUCAAAUCCAACACCUAGCAGCAAGAGAUCGAACUACCCUUUAAUUAAUACACUAACCGUGAAGGCGCGUGUACAUCCACAUCAAAUAUCUGAACACGCUACUUCACUCCAGAAAUUCCACAUUUCAACCAUCCGUGUACCCGCUCCAAGCCCCCAACAGAUAACUGGCACGGUUGCUAACCCCAAAAGGGGGAAAAGGUGCUCAGCACAGUCAGUCCUCGCACCAAACUAUUCCCAAAUCAGGCG
rnacentral:lncRNA from 1 species